CGAGUGGCGGACGGGUGAGUAAUGUCUGGGAAACUGCCUGAUGGAGGGGGAUAACUACUGGAAACGGUAGCUAAUACCGCAUAACGUCGCAAGACCAAAGAGGGGGACCUUCGGGCCUCUUGCCAUCAGAUGUGCCCAGAUGGGAUUAGCUAGUAGGUGGGGUAACGGCUCACCUAGGCGACGAUCCCUAGCUGGUCUGAGAGGAUGACCAGCCACACUGGAACCGAGACACGGUCCAG
rnacentral:rRNA from 1 species